GACGAACGCUGGCGGCGUGCCUAAUACAUGCAAGUCGAGCGCAGGAAAUCAUCCGAACCUUUCGGGGGGACGUUGAUGGAAUGAGCGGCGGACGGGUGAGUAACACGUAAAGAACCUGCCCUCAGGUCUGGGAUAACCACGAGAAAUCGGGGCUAAUACCGGAUGGGUCAUCGGACCGCAUGGUCCGAGGAUGAAAGGCGCUUCGGCGUCGCCUGGGGAUGGCUUUGCGGUGCAUUAGCUAGUUGGUGGGGUAAUGGCCCACCAGGGCGACGAUGCGUAGGCGACAUGAGAGGGUGAUCGGCACACUGGGACUGAGACACGGCCCAGACUCCUACGGGAGGCAGCAGUAGGGAAUCUUCCACAAUGGACGAAAGUCUGAUGGAGCAACGCCGCGUGAACGAUGAAGGCCUUCGGGUCGUAAAGUUCUGUUGUAAGGGAAGAACAAGUGCCGCAGGCAAUGGCGGCACCUUGACGGUACCUUGCGAGAAAGCCACGGCUAACUACGUGCCAGCAGCCGCGGUAA
rnacentral:rRNA from 1 species